rnacentral:rRNA from 1 species
GACGUAGGGUGCAAGCGUUGUCCGGAUUUAUUGGGCGUAAAGAGCGUGUAGGCGGCCAGACAGGUCAGCUGUGAAAACUCGAGGCUCAACCUCGAGACGUCGGUUGAAACCGUCUGGCUAGAGUCCGGAAGAGGAGAGUGGAAUUCCCGGUGUAGCGGUGAAAUGCGCAGAUAUCGGGAAGAACACCCGUGGCGAAGGCGGCUCUCUGGGACGGUACUGACGCUGAGACGCGAAAGCGUGGGGAGCGAACAGG